UGCAGCCUCCUCCCGCAGCCACUCUGACGCACCGGAGAACGGCGACGUUUGGAGCCUCAGCGGGUCCCCGACCAGACUUGGACAAAGGCGGAAGCAGGGCUGCAGGGACAGGGCUUCCUUGUGGCAGGGCCCUACCCUAAAGAAUUGUUUCCCUCCCCAACAAAGUGUGACCCACGCUUUGUGCGGUGGGAACCAGCGGCUCUUCUUCCCUGGGUUCAUGGACAAUGGGGGCUUCAGCUCUAGUGUCUCAGGAAGGAGCCCCUCAGGUCCCCCUCCUUUCCUUCCCUUUAUCUCUGUGAAGCGUGAGUCCCGCGACCCGUCAGUGGCGAGGGCUUUCUGGCUUUGCCUCUACAGCCCUAAGGACAGGCGUGCCCCAAAAUGACAGAGGAAGUUUAGAGGCACGUGAAGCCAGGGAAUGACUUUUCCUAAUCUAAGAGGUGCAAUAUGACAGAGUUUGCAGAGCUGAAUUUUUUUUUUUUCAGAGCUGAAUUUUAUUCUCAUUAAUUCCGCAAAAAGUUACUGCCUUCACUACCUGCUGAACAUUGUUCCAGGCUCUUGACACGUGAGACACAGGAGGGAGAAAACUAAACCCGUCCUGUGGAGUUUACAUUCCCAGGAACCAGAAAACAGCAGUGAACAGGUGAUCCUGAGAAUAGCAAAUGCUCCUUAGUGUACACAAAGUUAAACUUCAAUCAAGCAUUUCUCUAUAUGCAACACAUUACAGAGUUAAAAGGAAAAUACAAAAUAUGUGAAGCCUCCACCUUUUUAUGGCUGAAUAGUAUUUCAUGGUAUACAUAAACUACAGUUUAUUAAUCCAUUCAUGAAUUGAUGGGCACUGGAUUGAUUCCAUGUUUUGGUGAAUAUGAAUUGAGCUGCAAUUCCAGUGCAAAUGUCCUUAUGCUAAAAUGAUUCUUUUUCUUCUGAGUAGAUACCUAGUAAUAGAAUUGCAGGAUCCCAUUUAUAAGGGCAAGGGACAUGAACAGAAACUUCUCUAUAGAAGACAGAUAAUGGACAACAAACACACAAAAAAUUUCUCCUUGUCCCUAAUCAUAAGAGAAAUGCAAACCAAAAACACCCUGAUAUGUCGCCUAAUCCCAGUGAGUGCUUAGGGACUCACAGAGUCCCAAAGCUUCAGGUGCUGGCGUGAUGUGGAGAGAAGGGGAAACAUUUACAUGCUGGUGAGACUGCCAACUAAUACAGCCUGUAUGGGGAGAAGUGUGGAGAAUCCUUAAAGAGCAAAAAAUAAAACUUCCACUUUUUCUUUAUGUUGAAAGAGUAUGUGUAAAAUUAGUAAUAGUAACCUUAGUAUUAAAUUAUUUGGAAAAAUUUAUUAACAAAGCAUUUUGGACUUAGAGUUUUCUUUAUGGUGAAGUUUUUAUUACAUAUUUAGUUUCAUUAUUAAACAUGACUAUUUUUCAUAUUCAUUCAUGAGUUUGGUAAAUCUAAUUUUUCAAGGAUUUUUUAAAUUUACAUUUCGAAAAAUUUUAAUUCUGAAAAGAAGAUUGUUGGGAAAAUAGGUGUGUAAUGGAGGUAGGGGAUAAUUUUCAAUAUUUUCAGGUUGUGGUGAUGUUAGUCUGUUUGUCAAUACAUAUACUUGUUUAUUUUAUUAAAAUGUUAGAAAAAACAAUGUAUAAAAAAAAAAUUGCCUUCCAUGUUUUUAUGAGCCUUAAUGCCACUAACAUUUUUUGUUAAAUACGAAAAAAGUGUCUCCAUUAAAAAUUGUGAACAUUAAAAACCCACUUGUUUAGCAGAAUUUACUGGUUUUGUAUAAAUUUGGUAGAGUUGUAGCAUUCCUUAAAGUUCAAUGACUAAUUGAGCUCUUAAGCCCAACCAUGAAUCGACUCCUUGAAGACAUUGAUACUUUUUAUUUCUUAAGAGUAUACAACCUCAAUCAAUAGAAUGCAAACAUGAAAACUGAUAAUAUUUUUUGUUAAUAAAAUGCAUAAGUAACACAACUGUCAACCAUAUAUAAAAAGUAAGACAGAUUUAUUUCAUAUCAUGAUUUCUUUUAAUUAACUUAAUGAUGAUUUUUUUUUAAAAAAAUAACUGGUCUGAAUUAUUUUUACAAAGGCCAAAUCUGUGGACAGGAACUCUGGAUAAAAUUCAUUGAUUUAAUUUAUACCAGUCAACCUAAUAGCUAUUUUCAGCUCAAGAGAUGACUAAACAGCAAGUGCCUUCUGAGAUCAUUCAUUCUUCUGCACCUUUUGGCAUCUUGCAGAAAAAUUAGAGUGAAUAAAGGCACAGAUACAUCAGUGGAAUGACUGGUACUAGGUAGGGAGUAAUGCUUAGAACAAGUUGAAGCAAUAUGAAAAUGCAUUCUGAAGCUACCUUCCUCUCAGAAAUAUGCUGCAGACAAAAAAGGUGGGGAAAAAGCUCUGUAGAUGCAGAGGUUCUUUGGUUUCCAACUGUAGAGGCUGAUAUUUCAAAGAUAACUCUAAAGAUCUUAAUUUGUACAGAGAUUCUCUUGUUCCUUUUAAAAUUUUAUAGACCCUUCUUGGGGUCAUAGAAGUAAAAAUUGCAUUAGAAAUAUAUUUGUGAGUCAGAAUUUUAUUUGGCAGAAGGGAGAGCAAAGUAUCUGUGGAGAAAUGUUCACUAGAAUAAUAAACAAAACAAGAUCUGAGAACCCAUGAAAAUAGAUCAUAAUGGUGACCUCUGCUCAGAAUUUCUUGUUUCUGUGAGUUGUGUUUAGCUGCCUCUAGCUACCAGGUCUGAUACCAGGAAAGACUUUACCAUUUUAUUUUUAAUAUGACUUGAAAAAAAAUUAAUAAGGAGAAUUUAAUUCAGAUUUACUUCCUCUCAAAGCCAAAUUUAUAAAUGUGCUCCCUGUUGGGUCAGAAUUUUCUUGUUUGUAUAAUAGCUUGGUUUUCUUGUCCUUGUUUUGUCUAUUUUCUUUUUAUUUGUUAUUGUUGGGGAUUGUCUUUGUUUGUGAAACACUAAGCACUUCUGUUCUCUUUAUCUUCUGCAGACAUCAUGGACAUGGUG